ACUCACACCAACCAUUAGCCCACAAUGGACAAAGUCAACAUGUUCUGAUGCUGACUGAAGGCUACAAAAGUGAAGAGAUUUUUUUAAAGGUUCUUACCUGAAGCGCUCCUGGCCUGCCGUGUCCCAGAGCUGCAGCUUUAUCUUCACCCCGGGUUCGAUGUCGAGGGAGCGGGCGUAGAAAUCCACGCCGACCGUGGGAUCCGCCACAUCACUGUAGAUCCCGUCCGUGAAGCGCUUCAGCAGCGACGACUUCCCCACCGUGGAGUCCCCGAGCAGGAUGAUCCUGAACUGGUAUUGCCACAAAAUAUCCAUGGCAUGACGAGAGGACAGGGUGUCAAAGAACUGUCUCCGUCUCUGUCUCCCUCUGUGUGUGUGUGUGUGUGUGUGUGUGAGAAACAAAGCCCUGUGUGGAGCUGUGUUUACAUGGAGCUCAGUCUUCUUCUUCUACUGCUGCUCACGGAGCGGCCGCAGCACUGGUCAUGUGACUCCCUCACCUUUAGCUCCACUCCUAUAAAACCCGCUGAAUGAGUCGAUUGUGUGUUAAGAAAUGUUUGCAGGAUAAUCUGGAUUUAAAGUCACACGGAAACACAGCUGAGGUUUUAUUGUUACUGUUCUAAUUGCUGUUGAUGUUGUGCACAGUCAGUCUUUUGUCUCUGUCGCGAGGCUCAGUCUGAUUUGGUCAUUUUUAAUAUAAGCACUGACGUGAAACUGCGAUAUUUAACAACUGUUUGCUAAAGCAGACGCACGCACGCACGCACGCACACACACACACAUACACAGAGGAGGAGACAGGCUGCUGUCCGUGGUUCUGAAGUGGGACAACAGACACCCCACUUCCGGCUUUGCUCUCGCUCCAUAAUGUCAUUAUUGUGUCACUAUAAACAUAUAAUUAUGUAUUUUCUGUCAAUAUGUACUUCUAUUUAAAAAGUGUUGCAUUAAAAAGUAAAAAAAAAGCCCGAAAUACAACGGAUUCGUAAAAAAAUAAAGUUAGAACACUACAUCUCCCAUCAUGCAAGUGGUGCGCGCGUGACCUACCCGGGCCAAUCAGAGAGCAGCUGCUCGGAACUAGCCUGUAUAAAAUGGGAUGGGAACCGCCUUCCGUUCUCUUCUUCUUCAUGUUCUCCGUGAGGUGGAACCCAACCUGACAUUUGACAAUGGUUAAACCAGUCAUGGCUCAAUCAAACCACUCCCAGUGUGGAAGACUGCAUCCAAAACCGGUUUUUGUUUUUGGAUGACACAGAGCCCAAAGUAGAGGAACAACGUCACUUAAAUGCUUUCAUUUUUGGAUGACACGGAACCCAAAGUAGAGGAACAACAUCACUUAAAUGUGACCAUGACUGAAAAACAAGUGGCCAGAUGAGGAUGACUGGUGUGAAGACAUUACUCAGGCUCAUGAGUUGAAGUUCUUCAGGCUGUUUUGGCUCUAUGGUCGUCUUCCUAGUUUAAAGGUGAGGAUGUGUUGGACCACAGGAAGUCUGGACCUGCUGCAGGCCCUGGAAGAAACAUGUAGACUGUCAUGUAAAUGAGUGCAGAGAUGGAACUGUUUAAAGAGAAAUAAAAGUUUGAAACAUGAA